ACUCAAAGGAAUUGACGGGGGCCCGCACAAGCGGUGGAGCAUGUGGUUUAAUUCGACGCAACGCGCAGAACCUUACCAGGGUUUGACAUCCUGUGCUCGCUCCAGAGAUGGAGUCUUCCCGCAAGGGACGCAGAGACAGGUGCUGCAUGGCUGUCGUCAGCUCGUGUCGUGAGAUGUUGGGUUAAGUCCCGCAACGAGCGCAACCCUCGCCUUUAGUUGCCAUCAUUCAGUUGGGCACUCUAGAGGGACCGCCGGCGGCAAGCCGGAGGAAGGUGGGGAUGAAGUCAAGUCAUCAUGGCCCUUACACCCUGGGCUACACACGUGCUACAAUGGCGGUGACAAUGGGCAGCCAACUCGCGAGAGUGAGCUAAUCCCAAAAAACCGUCCCAGUUCAGAUUGCACUCUGCAACUCGGGUGCAUGAAGGUGGAAUCGCUAGUAAUCGCAGAACAGCAGGCUGCGGUGAAUACGUUCCCGGGCCUUGUACACACCGCCCGU
rnacentral:rRNA from 1 species